rnacentral:rRNA from 1 species
AUACGUAGGGGGCGAGCGUUGUCCGGAAUGAUUGGGCGUAAAGGGCGCGUAGGCGGCCUGUUAAGUCUGGAGUGAAAGUCCUGUUUUCAAGAUGGGAAUUGCUUUGGAUACUGAUGGGCUUGAGUGCAGGAGAGGUUAUCGGAAUUCCCGGUGUAGCGGUGAAAUGCGUAGAGAUCGGGAGGAACACCAGUGGCGAAGGCGGGUAACUGGACUGCAACUGACGCUGAGGCGCCAAAGUGUGGGGAGCAAACAGGAUUAGAUUCCCUGGUAGUCCACACUGUAAACGAUGAAUGCUAGGUGUAAGAGGUAUCGACCCCUUUUGUGCCGGAGUUAACACAAUAAGCAUUCCGCCUGGGGAGUACGGCCGCAAGGUUGAAACUCAAAGGAAUUGACGGGG